CCCUGACUGGCUCAGUCCGUAGAGCAUACCACUCUUGAUCUUGGAGUCAUGAGUUCAAGUCCCAUGUUGGGGG
rnacentral:tRNA from 1 species